GGUAAGGAGCCAAAAGUGAAUGCAUUUGGGACCCAGAGUCACCUGCAGUUCAGUGUUUCCAGACCCAGAAGAUAAGAAGCAUCUGCCAUAGGCAGGCUGGCACCCAGUCUGGCAGUUUUAUAGAAAUAUGGCUACUUCUUAGAGUCAUAAAACACUCUGCGAAGGACUCUAAGAAACUCAGAGCAAUUCCCUCAUUUGACAGAGAAGAAAACUGCUUAGAGUGGUAUGACAUCUUGCCAACGUUCCUAAGGGAGUAAUUGGCAGAACAUGACUGGAUCCCAUUUUUUUCUGACCCCAAGGUCAGUUGUUUAAUCCAUCAUAACACACCAUCUCUCUAAGUGUCGCUUUGGGGAAAGCUGAAAAUUUAGACAGCAUUCUAAGGUAAAGUGAGAAUUAAAUACAUCUUUUACUGUCAUGCUUCUCCUUCUGUGACCGUCUCCCACAUACAGGACCAGCAGGACCUGCUCUGCCUUCUGGCUGCUUCCAUACUCCUCCAAAUUCCUCACAGACUGGCUCUUCCAUGAAGCUCAUUUUUCUCCCUCUCUAGUCUUUAUUAAAACAUAUUUCUUUUUAAAAAUAUUUUAUUUAUUUAUUUAUUUAUUUAUUUAUUUAUUUAUUUAUUUAUUUCACAGAAAGAGAGGCAGAGACAUAGACAGAGGGAGGAGCAGAUUUCUUGCAGGAACCCAACGCAGGACUCCAACCAGGACCCCAGGAUCACACCUUGAGCCGAAGGCAGAUGCUCAACCACUGAGCCACUCAGGCAUCCCUAAAAUGUAUUUCUUGAAGGCUACUGACCUAAACCAGAAAAACAUCCCUCACUCAGAGAAAAAAAGCGUGUACUUCCAGUGAAAUGAGGAGAGUGAAGAAAGGAGAAGGACAAGAGCAAGCAACAUGAGACAAGAACCCGUGUCUGGAGACAUAGCCAGCUCAUUCUCAACUCUCCUAGGGACUUCUGCAAAUGAGUGCAAGUGUCUUGUCCUUAGGAAUUCAAAUAACAUUUGUUUGAUUUGACAGACUUAUAUAUUAUAAAAUGAUUACCACCACAGAGUUAGCUAACCCCUCCAUCAUGUCAUGUAUUUAACAUUUCUUUUUUGAGGUGAAAACAUUUAAGAUCUACUCUCUUAGCAACUAACUUUCAAGUGUAUAAUACAGAACUAUUAACAUCAUCAUGCUGUACAUUAGAUUCUAGAAAUUAUGCAUCUUAUAACUAGAAGUUUG
rnacentral:lncRNA from 12 species